CGAUACUUUCGGGGUUAGCAACUCAGCAAUAUCACUCAAAAAAGCGAGCAGGAAACAUUUAUUUACCUAACCAUUAUUACAUAAGUGGACAAAAAUAGAGAGGAGGAGGAGUCAAACACGGAGAAAGUAUAUCAGAUGUAAUAUUUGGCCUUGUGGGAAAAUGUGAGCUGACAUGGGUUAUGGUCAGCAGAGACCUGAACAGCAGUGGAAGAAUUCUGAUGUUGUGCUCCUACAUGUACACCUCAACAUGAAUGUCAAGAGGCCAGAAAAAUGAAAAUCAGGCAUCAUAACAGACGCCCUGUUGCUUGGUGGAGACAUCCAUGUGUCACAAAGGGCUUCCAUCCAAUCGGAAGAGCCACAGGUCCAGCUUGUUAACCGGCAUGUCUCGGCUGCAAACCCAUUGAUGUGGAUCCAGAGACUGACAGAGACAUUAUUAUUAGCGCGGUCAGAGAGGCGGUCAUGGAAAUUCACAUCCUGUGACCUCGCGUCUGACCUUACUCCCCUGCUGACCCACUAACCUGAAGGAGAGCCACAACAAACCCUGACUUCUGCCAGGCAAACAAUAGAAAACCAUCACAUUGUUGUUCAGUUUUGUUGCCUUUUUUCUUAUCUACUCUGUUCAAAUAUAUAGCCUGCAGAUGCACACAACUUUUCACAAGCCCUAGGAAACCAACACUAUUCAUAAAUGGAUACACUGCGUUCAAAAUGUGCUGCAGGAGCUGAAUUUGACCUUGCAUGUGUCUCAUAAGCCUGCAUUAGCUCCAGCCACUUUGUCAUCAUUUUCUGGAAGAAACUUCCUCUGAACUCAGCUAAGAAUAAACCUCAAAGGUCGA